GAUGAAGAACGCAGCGAAAUGCGAUAACUAAUGUGAAUUGCAGAAUUCCGUGAAUCAUCGAGUCUUUGAACGCACAUUGCGCCCCCUGGUAUUCCGGGGGGCAUGCCUGUCCGAGCGUCAUUUCACCACUCAAGCCUGGCUUGGUGUUGGGCGACGUCCCCUUUAGGGACGCGCCUCGAAACGCUCGGCGGCGUGGCACCGGCUUUAAGCGUAGCAGAAUCUUUCGCUUUGGAAGUCGGGGCCCCGCCUGCCGGAAUACCUACUCGUAAGGUUGACCUCGGAUCAGGCAGGGAUACCCGCUGAACUUAAGCAUAUCAAUAAGCGGAGGA
rnacentral:misc_RNA from 1 species